rnacentral:rRNA from 1 species
CAGCAGCCGCGGUAAUACGGAGGUGGCAAGCGUUGUUCGGAAUUACUGGGCGUAAAGGGCGCGUAGGCGGCAUGGCAAGUCAGAUGUGAAAGCCCCGGGCUUAACUCGGGAACUGCAUCUGAAACUGCCUUGCUUGAGUCCUGGAGGGGGUAGUGGAAUUCCCAGUGUAGCGGUGAAAUGCGUAGAUAUUGGGAGGAACACCUGCGGCGAAGGCGGCUACCUGGACAGUGACUGACGCUCAGGCACGAAAGCGUGGGGAGCCAAAGGGAUUAGAUACCCCUGUAGUCCACGCCCUAAACGGUGCACACUAGGUCUUGGCGGAUUCGACCCCGCCAGGGCCCAAGCUAACGCGUUAAGUGUGCCGCCUGAGGACUACGGCCGCAAGGCUAAAACUCAAAGGAAUUGACGG